ACUAGGAGUAGUGGCGUGUACUGUAAUCCAGCUACUUGGAGGUCGGGCCUCGAGGAUGGUUUGAGUCUGGGAACCACUGUGGUUGGGUGUUUCUACGUUGACCAAGCGUCCGCACAAGCUGAUCAUCAACAUGGUUGUUUCCGGGGAGCCGGAGAUAUCCAGGUUGCUAAGGAGGGGCGAACCUGUGCGACUAAGACCCUUUUUCCAUUUAAUCCGCUCAUAUUUUUGAUGUUGAUCUAGGUGAGUUUCUAUUGUGAGGAUAUAAUUAUUGACAAGAUAGAAUUUUAAUCCAUCGUU
rnacentral:misc_RNA from 13 species